rnacentral:rRNA from 1 species
GAUGAACGCUGGCGGCGUGCCUAAUACAUGCCAGUCGAGCGAACAGACGAGGAGCUUGCUCCUCUGACGUUAGCGGCGGACGGGUGAGUAACACGUGGAUAACCUACCUAUAAGACUGGGAUAACUUCGGGAAACCGGAGCUAAUACCGGAUAAUAUAUUGAACCGCAUGGUUCAAUAGUGAAAGACGGUUUUGCUGUCACUUAUAGAUGGAUCCGCGCCGCAUUAGCUAGUUGGUAAGGUAACGGCUUACCAAGGCAACGAUGCGUAGCCGACCUGAGAGGGUGAUCGGCCACACUGGAACUGAGACACGGUCCAGACUCCUACGGGAGGCAGCAGUAGGGAAUCUUACGCAAUGGGCGAAAGCUUGACGGAGCAACGCCGCGUGAGUGAUGAAGGUCUUCGGAUCGUAAAACUCUGUUAUUAGGGAAGAACAAAUGUGUAAGUAACUAUGCACGUCUUGACGGUACCUAAUCAGAAAGCCACGGCUAACUACGUG